GACGAACGCUGGCGGCGUGCCUAAUACAUGCAAGUCGAGCGAGCGGAACUAACAGAUUUACCUCGGUAAUGACGUUAGGACAGCGAGCGGCGGAUGGGUGAGUAACACGUGGGGAACCUGCCCCAUAGUCUGGGAUACCACUUGGAAACAGGUGCUAAUACCGGAUAAGAAAGCAGAUCGCAUGAUCAGCUUUUAAAAGGCGGCGUAAGCUGUCGCUAUGGGAUGGCCCCGCGGUGCAUUAGCUAGUUGGUAAGGUAAAGGCUUACCAAGGCGAUGAUGCAUAGCCGAGUUGAGAGACUGAUCGGCCACAUUGGGACUGAGACACGGCCCAAACUCCUACGGGAGGCAGCAGUAGGGAAUCUUCCACAAUGGACGCAAGUCUGAUGGAGCAACGCCGCGUGAGUGAAGAAGGUUUUCGGAUCGUAAAGCUCUGUUGUUGGUGAAGAAGGAUAGAGGUAGUAACUGGCCUUUAUUUGACGGUAAUCAACCAGAAAGUCACGGCUAACUACGUG
rnacentral:rRNA from 1 species